UCGAGACCGAAUAGGAAGACCGGUGCACGGUGAACGGAACCCCCGCGGUGGUUUUUGCUGCCACGGGCCGCGGCCCACUGUAGCCAUCUGGCGUUGUGGAGUUUGCGAAUAAAAAACGGCGCUGCAUUGGUGCCAAGGCAUACAUGUCGAGCAGGGCGUUCGGACCGCAGCUGUGCUGGGUGUUCGUCGUCUUGACGGUAUAAUCUU
rnacentral:misc_RNA from 1 species